GAGUUUGAUCAUGGCUCAGAUUGAACGCUGGCGGCAUGCCUUACACAUGCAAGUCGAACGGCAGCACGGGAGCUUGCUCCUGGGUGGCGAGUGGCGAACGGGUGAGUAAUGCAUCGGAACGUAUCCUGGAGUGGGGGAUAACGUAGCGAAAGUUACGCUAAUACCGCAUAUUCUGUGAGCAGGAAAGCGGGGGACCUUCGGGCCUCGCGCUCUUGGAGCGGCCGAUGUCGGAUUAGCUAGUUGGUGAGGUAAAGGCUCACCAAGGCGACGAUCCGUAGCAAGUCUGAGAGGAUGAUCUGCCACACUGGAACUGAGACAGGUCCAGACUCCUACGGAGGCAGCAGUGGGGAAUCUUGGAC
rnacentral:rRNA from 1 species